UACGAGGGGAGCAAGCGUUGUUCGGAUUUACUGGGCGUAAAGGGCGCGUAGGCGGCGUGACAAGUCACUUGUGAAAUCUCCGGGCUUAACUCGGAACGGUCAGCUGAUACUGUUUUGCUAGAGUGCGGAAGGGGCAAUCGGAAUUCUCGGUGUAGCGGUGAAAUGCGUAGAUAUCGAGAGGAACACCAGAGGUGAAGACGGGUUGCUGGGCCGACACUGACGCUGACAGCGCGAAAGCCAGGGGAGCAAACGGGG
rnacentral:rRNA from 1 species